rnacentral:rRNA from 1 species
UAGGCGAACGGGUGAGUAACACGUGGGCAACCUGCCCAAANAGGGGGAUAACACUUGGAAACAGGUGCUAAUACCGCAUAACCAUAGUUACCGCAUGGUAACUAUGUAAAAGGUGGCUAUGCUACCGCUUUUGGAUGGGCCCGCGGCGCAUUAGCUAGUUGGUGGGGUAAAGGCUUACCAAGGCAAUGAUGCGUAGCCGAACUGAGAGGUUGAUCGGCCACAUUGGGACUGAGACACGGCCCAAACUCCUACGGGAGGCAGCAG